rnacentral:rRNA from 1 species
AGUACGUGAAACUGCUUAGAGGUUAAGCCCGAUGAACUUGAAUAUCCGUUAUGGAAAAUUCAUCAUUAAUAUUAUAAUAUUUAUCAUAUUAUAAAAAUAGUGUGCAAUUUUUCCAUAUAAGGACAUUGUAAUCUGUUAAUGUAUUAAAUAUUUAUUAAAAGAUCUUAUACUUAAGUUUAUUUGAAUUUGUUAUCUUUGGAUUUCAAACAUAAAAUAAAUGUAUUUGAUUUAAUAAAUCAUUGACAGAUAUCAUUAUAUAUAGUGCUUAAAUUUUUUUAAAAAUUUUACAAUAGCAUAAUAAUUCUAUUUAUUGUGUUCAUUGUAUGCGCUUAUAUGAUUAACAAUGCAAUAGAUUCAGGAUACCUUCGGGACCCGUCUUGAAACACGGACCAAGGAGUCUAACAUAUGUGCGAGUCAUUGGGUAUUUUUAAUAAAACCCAAUGGCAUAAUUAACUUAACUGUUAUAUGGGAUUAGUUUAAAUUUUAUUAUGAAAUAUAAAUUCAAUCCSGGGGCGUUCUAUACAGUUAUGCAUAAUGGUAUUUAUAUUAUUUAUGCCUCUAACU